rnacentral:rRNA from 1 species
CAGUCGCCACGGUAAAACGAAGGGUGCAAGCGUUACUCGGAAUUACUGGGCGUAAAGCGUGCGUAGGUGGUGGUUUAAGUCCGUUGUGAAAGCCCUGGGCUCAACCUGGGAAUUGCAGUGGAUACUGGGUCACUAGAGUGUGGUAGAGGAUAGUGGAAUUUCCGGUGUAGCAGUGAAAUGCGUAGAGAUCGGAAGGAACAUCUGUGGCGAAGGCGACUAUCUGGGCCAACACUGACACUGAGGCACGAAAGCGUGGGGAGCAAACAGGAUUAGAUACCCGAGUAGUCCCUGUCUCUUAUAA